UGUCAUUCUGGCCACAAAAUCUGAGAAGGAC
rnacentral:piRNA from 1 species